UAUUUGAGAGUUUGAUCCUGGCUCAGGAUGAACGCUGGCGGCGUGCCUAACACAUGCAAGUUGAGCGAUUUACUUCGGUAAAGAGCGGCGGACGGGUGAGUAACGCGUGGGUAACCUACCCUGUACAAACGGAUAACAUACCGAAAGGUAUGCUAAUACGGGAUAAUAUGUUUGAGAGGCAUCUCUUGAAUAUCAAAGGUGAGCCAGUACAGGAUGGACCCGCGUCUGAUUAGCUAGUUGGUAAGGUAACGGCUU
rnacentral:rRNA from 1 species